rnacentral:rRNA from 1 species
GACGAACGCUGGCGGCGUGCUUAACACAUGCAAGUCGAACGGAAAGGCCCUGCUUUUGUGGGGUGCUCGAGUGGCGAACGGGUGAGUAACACGUGAGUAACCUGCCCUUGACUUUGGGAUAACUUCAGGAAACUGGGGCUAAUACCGGAUAGGAGCUCCUGCUGCAUGGUGGGGGUUGGAAAGUUUCGGCGGUUGGGGAUGGACUCGCGGCUUAUCAGCUUGUUGGUGGGGUAGUGGCUUACCAAGGCUUUGACGGGUAGCCGGCCUGAGAGGGUGACCGGCCACAUUGGGACUGAGAUAAGGCACAGACUCCUACGGGAGGCAGAAGUGGGGAAUAUUGCACAAUGGGCGGAAGCCUGAUGCAGCAACGCCGCGUGCGGGAUGACGGCCUUCGGGUUGUAAACCGCUUUCGCCUGUGACGAAGCGUGAGUGACGGUAAUGGGUAAAGAAGCACCGGCUAACUACGUG